AUAAAUAUUGCUACACUCACAAAAACCAUAUCACAAUCACUUCUCAUUUUUAUCUUCAAAACUACUAUAGAGAGAUUCUCAAAGCAUGGCUAACAUCACAAUAUUAGAUAUUAAAUGGCCCCCACUUGAUGUUCUUCCUCCACCUUUUGCAAAAUAUGCCAUAUAGAGGAUGAUGGCAUUCUAUGUCCAUGGGAGCAAGAUGUUCAUUAAGAAGAGGAAGAAGGAAGAUGAUCUUAGUAGCAUAUGAUCAUGAAAGACCCAACCAAAAGUUGAACUCUUUUUAUCAAUAUAUAAACAAGCUAUAUAUGUAUAUGGCUUAACCUCCUAGAAUAAGUGUUUAAUAAAUGUCUUGAUUAUGUAUGUUUGAUACAAUAUAUAUGAAUGAUUAAAUAGAUACUACAAUCUAUUUCUACAA